rnacentral:rRNA from 1 species
AUUGAACGCUGGCGGCAUGCCUUACACAUGCAAGUCGAACGGUAACAGGUUAAGCUGACGAGUGGCGAACGGGUGAGUAAUAUAUCGGAACGUGCCCAGUCGUGGGGGAUAACGUAGCGAAAGCUACGCUAAUACCGCAUACGAUCUACGGAUGAAAGCGGGGGAUCGCAAGACCUCGCGCGAUUGGAGCGGCCGAUAUCAGAUUAGGUUGUUGGUGAGGUAAAAGCUCACCAAGCCUGCGAUCUGUAGCUGGUCUGAGAGGACGACCAGCCACACUGGAACUGAGACACGGUCCAGACUCCUACGGGAGGCAGCAGUGGGGAAUUUUGGACAAUGGACGCAAGUCUGAUCCAGCAAUGCCGCGUGCAGGACGAAGGCCUUCGGGUUGUAAACUGCUUUUGUACGGAACGAAACGGUGAGCUCUAAUACAGUUUGCUAAUGACGGUACCGUAAGAAUAAGCACCGGCUAACUACGUGCCAGCAGCCGCAGUAACAC